rfam:Triticum aestivum genome assembly, contig: Triticum_aestivum_CS42_TGACv1_scaffold_375719_5AL
CAAGUACUCCCUCCGUUCCAAAUUACUCGUUGCAGAAAUGGAUGUAUCUAGAACUAAAAUACAUGUAAAUAUAUCCAUACCUGCGUCAAGUAAUUCGGAACGGAGGGAGUAGAUC